rnacentral:snRNA from 1 species
GUGCUAACUUUGGCAACACAUACACUAAAACUGGAACCAUACAGACAAGAUUAAUGUGGUCUACAGGCAAGGAUGGCAUGCAAAUCUUUUUCAGUUAAU